rnacentral:rRNA from 1 species
GACGAACGCUGGCGGCGUGCUUAACACAUGCAAGUCGAACGGAAAGGCCCUGCUUUUGUGGGGUGCUCGAGUGGCGAACGGGUGAGUAACACGUGAGUAACCUGCCCUUGACUUUGGGAUAACUUCAGGAAACUGGGGCGAAUACAGGAUAGGAGCUCCUGAUGCAUGGUGGGGGUUGGAAAGUUUCGGCGGUUGGGGAUGGAUUCGCGGCUUAUCAGCGUGUUGGUGGGGGAGUGGCUUACCAAGGCUUUGACGGGUAGCCGGCCUGAGAGGGUGACCGGCCACAUUGGGACUGAGAGACGGCCCAGUCUCCUACGGUAGGCAGCAGUCGGGAGUAUUGCACAAUGGGCGGACGCCUGAUGCAGAAACUCCGCGUGCGUGAUGACGUCCUUCGGGUUGUAAACCGCUUUCGCCUGUGACGAAGCGUGAGUGACGGUAAUUGGUAAAGAAGCACCGGCUAACUACGUG